AACGAACGCUGGCGGCAUGCCUAACACAUGCAAGUCGAACGAGACCUUCGGGUCUAGUGGCGCACGGGUGCGUAACGCGUGGGAACCUGCCCUUAGGUUCGGAAUAACUCCCCGAAAGGGGUGCUAAUACCGGAUAAUGUCUUCGGACCAAAGAUUUAUCGCCUUUGGAUGGGCCCGCGUUGAUUAGCUAGUUGGUAGGGUAAAAGCCUACCAAGGCGACGAUCCAUAGCUGGUCUGAGAGGAUGAUCAGCCACACUGGGACUGAGACACGGCCCAGACUCCUACGGGAGGCAGCAGUGGGGAAUAUUGGACAAUGGGCGAAAGCCUGAUCCAGCAAUGCCGCGUGAGUGAUGAAGGCCUUAGGGUUGUAAAGCUCUUUUACCCGGGAUGAUAAUGACAGUACCGGGAGAAUAAGCUCCGGCUAACUCCGUG
rnacentral:rRNA from 1 species